GCUCAGGACGAACGCUGGCGGCGUGCCUAAUACAUGCAAGUCGAGCGAACUCUGGUUUUUGAUUUUUGGUGCUUGCACCAAAAUGAUAAAACAUUUGAGUGAGCGGCGGAUGGGUGAGUAACACGUGGGUAACCUGCCCUAAAGUGGGGGAUAACAUUUGGAAACAAGUGCUAAUACCGCAUAACAACAUUUACCACAUGGUUUAUGUUUAAAAGAUGGUUUUGCUAUCACUUUAGGAUGGACCCGCGGCGUAUUAGUUAGUUGGUGAGGUAAUGGCUCACCAAGACCGUGAUACGUAGCCGACCUGAGAGGGUAAUCGGCCACAUUGGGACUGAGACACGGCCCAAACUCCUACGGGAGGCAGCAGUAGGGAAUCUUCCACAAUGGACGAAAGUCUGAUGGAGCAACGCCGCGUGAGUGAAGAAGGUUUUCGGAUCGUAAAACUCUGUUGUUGAAGAAGAACAUGCGUGAGAGUAACUGUUCACGUAUUGACGGUAUUCAACCAGAAAGCCACGGCUAACUACGUGCCAGCAGCCGCGGUAAUACGUAGGUGGCAAGCGUUGUCCGGAUUUAUUGGGCGUAAAGCGAGCGUAGGCGGUUUAUUAAGUCUGAUGUGAAAGCCCUCGGCUCAACCGAGGAAGUGCAUCGGAAACUGGUAAACUUGAGUGCAGAAGAGGAGAGUGGAACUCCAUGUGUAGCGGUGGAAUGCGUAGAUAUAUGGAAGAACACCAGUGGCGAAGGCGGCUCUCUGGUCUGUAACUGACGCUGAGGUUCGAAAGCGUGGGUAGCAAACAGGAUUAGAUACCCUGGUAGUCCACGCCGUAAACGAUGAGUGCUAAGUGUUGGAGGGUUUCCGCCCUUCAGUGCUGCAGCUAACGCAUUAAGCACUCCGCCUGGGGAGUACGACCGCAAGGUUGAAACUCAAAGGAAUUGACGGGGGCCCGCACAAGCGGUGGAGCAUGUGGUUUAAUUCGAAGCAACGCGAAGAACCUUACCAGGUCUUGACAUACCAUGAAAAGCUAAGAGAUUAGUCUUUCCCUUCGGGGACAUGGAUACAGGUGGUGCAUGGUUGUCGUCAGCUCGUGUCGUGAGAUGUUGGGUUAAGUCCCGCAACGAGCGCAACCCUUAUUACUAGUUGCCAGCAUUCAGUUGGGCACUCUAGUGAGACUGCCGGUGACAAACCGGAGGAAGGUGGGGACGACGUCAAAUCAUCAUGCCCCUUAUGACCUGGGCUACACACGUGCUACAAUGGUCGGUACAACGUGCUGCGAACUCGCGAGGGUAAGCAAAUCACUUAAAACCGAUCUCAGUUCGGAUUGUAGGCUGCAACUCGCCUACAUGAAGCUGGAAUCGCUAGUAAUCGCGGAUCAGCAUGCCGCGGUGAAUACGUUCCCGGGCCUUGUACACACCGCCCGUCACACCAUGAGAGUUUGUAACACCCAAAGCCGGUGGGGUAACCUUUUAUUAGGAGCUAACCGUCUAAGGUGGGACAAAUGAUUAGGGUGAAGUCGUAACAA
rnacentral:rRNA from 2 species